GACGGAGGAUGCAAGUGUUAUCCGGAAUCACUGGGCGUAAAGCGUCUGUAGGUGGUUCGAAAAGUCCACUGUUAAAAAUUGAGGCUUAACUUCAAAGAUGCCGUGGAAACUUUCAAACUAGAGUAUGGUAGGGGUAGAGGGAAUUUCCAGUGGAGCGGUGAAAUGCGUAGAUAUUGGAAAGACCACCGAUGGCGAAGGCACUCUACUGGGCCAUUACUGACACUGAGGAGCGAAAGCGUGGGAGCGAACAGG
rnacentral:rRNA from 1 species